GUAAGUAGAACAGCCAGUGUUUAUUGAGUACUUACGGUGUGUCAGCUCUUUGCUAAUCACUUUAUAUAGGAGGGGACUGGGACAGGGAGGUAAGUACACUGCCUGAGUCACCCAGCUGCGACUGUAACCCAGGGUUCUUUGUUUCUAAGUCCACGCUUUUAAGAGCUAAGCAGGAAGUCUUGGAGGGAACAGAAAGGAGGCAGCCUGAGGAUGUGUGAGGAGCAAGCUUUACCUCCACUAAUGCUUAUGUUUGGAAGGAGACCAGAAUGGAACCAGAAGUGUUGGGUUUCAACUGCUCAGAGAAGUGCUAUUUGGAAGAAUGCGAUUCAGGUACUUCCAGUCAGAUACAUCCGUGCAAGACUUGGAUAGAGAAGUAACAUAAGGAGGCAGCUGUGGGAAGACUGACCAUCUGGACAUCCAAGCUGCAUGAGGAGAGGCUCACGUAGGGGGAAACCGAGGUUUGCAGCAGCGACUCGCCAGGCGUGUGAGUGAGCCAACCUGGAAGCAGAUCCUCCAGUUCCAGUGAAGUGUGUGGAUGACAUCAGCUCCAGCCUUCAUUUUGACCACAACUCAUGAGAUGCCCUAAGCCAGAACCACCCUUGAAGCUGCUUUUAAAUUCCGAAAGUGGAAAUAAUAUAUUUUAUUGUUUUAAAUCACUACAUUUUGGGGUAGUGAUUUGUUUUGCAUGCCAUUUGUUAUGUUGCAAUGGAUAACCAAUACAUCUUGACUUUUGGAAACCAUGAGGAGGGAUCAAUGUUUUAAAAAGAUUCAUUGUCCUCAUUUAGGUAGUCACUAUUAUUAUUUCUUAAGGGAGUAUGCCUACCAGGACUAUAACAUUUCCAAGGAAGUGUUUAUGAAUACAGCACUGCCAUGGAUAUUUAAAAGCAAGCUUGUGGAUUCCACACCAGCUUUGAAAUAGAAUAUCUGGCACCUAGCAGUUAGCAUAAGAUAAAAGGAAUUAUUUCCCAAAUAAAGCCAUAUGUUAUUGCUAUCAUCAUCAUCAUCAUCACCAUCACUGCCAUUAAACAUCUAGGUGCAGAUAAUACCCAUAAUAGUGUCCCUUUGAAUGAGAGAAAUCAACAAAGGUCCCAAAAGGCAAUUGCACAGGUCCUUAUUUACUGAUUUUUCCUAAAUAAUCAAAUAGAUCUUUUACCUUAAAUGCAGAUAAUAUCAUAAUUCAUCAAACUAAUUUAUAAUGGUGAACUGCCGCUUAAAUAUUGUCUUAUAAAUGAUGCCUUUUGAAGUUAAAAGUGAUGUUGAUUCAAUCAAUUUUGAAAAAAUAUCUAGAACAUAUUAAACAAAUGAUAUUAGAAGUGAAAAAAACUGUCUUCUAUUAAGUCUUCUAAGAAAGACAAUUAUGAUAAGUUCCUGGUCAGAUAAAAACCAUUCCAUCAUUAAAGGAAAUAAAAAGAAGCAU
rnacentral:lncRNA from 10 species